CGGUCUGUAGCUCAAUGGUAGAGCGCUGAGCUUAUACCUCAGUGGUUGUAGGUUCGAUCCCUACCAGACCGACAA
rnacentral:tRNA from 1 species